GGGCCGAAUGGUUAUUCUCAUUCACUCAUUCAUUGUACGAGCUGAACAAAUUAAGUGAAAACUCAUUAUCAUCAUUCAAAUCAAGACUAAGACAC
ensembl:snoRNA SNORD116 Small nucleolar RNA SNORD116